rnacentral:rRNA from 1 species
GAGUUUGAUCGUGGCUCAGAUUGAACGCUGGCGGCAUGCCUUACACAUGCAAGUCGAACGGCAGCACGGGAGCUUGCUCCUGGUGGCGAGUGGCGAACGGGUGAGUAAUGCAUCGGAACGUAUCCUGGAGUGGGGGAUAACGUAGCGAAAGUUACGCUAAUACCGCAUAUUCUGUGAGCAGGAAAGCGGGGGACCUUCGGGCCUCGCGCUCUUGGAGCGGCCGAUGUCGGAUUAGCUAGUUGGUGAGGUAAAGGACUCACCAAGGCGACGAUCCGUAGCAGGUCUGAGAGGAUGAUCUGCCACACUGGAACUGAGACACGGUCCAGACUCCUACGGGAGGCAGCAGUGGGAAUUUUGGACAAUGGGGGCAACCCUGAUCCAGCCAUGCCGCGUGAGUGAAGAAGGCCUCGG